rnacentral:rRNA from 1 species
AGGGCCCCACCAGGAGUGGAGCCUGCGGCUUAAUUUGACUCAACACGGGGAAACUCACCCGGCCCGGACACCGGAAGGAUUGACAGAUUGAUAGCUUUUUUUUGAUUCGGGGGAUGGGGGUGCAUGGGCGUUCUUAGUUCGUGGAGCGAUUUGUCUGGGUUAUUCCCAUAACCAGCGAGACUCUAGCCCACUAAAUAGCUCGGACAUUGUCUCUGUGUGUGCGACUUCUUAGAGGGACCUUCGGAGUACAGCCUCCCAAAAUUGACCAAUAACAGGUCUGUGAUGCCCUUAGAUGUCCGGGGCUGCAUGCCCGCUACACUGGACAAAUCUCGGUGCUUGUCCCUCCCCCACAGGUGCUGGACAAACCCUGAAAAUAUGCCUGGCGUGGGAUAGGAAAUUGCGACUAUUUUCCUUGUAUGAAGAAUUCCUACUAUGUUUGAGACUUCAGUUCGCUUUGAUUAUCUCCCUGCGCCUUGUCCACACCGCCCGGCGCUGCCUACCUCUGAGACGUUUCCAGGA